GUUUCUUUAUUCCCAUUGGAGGAGGUCUCAGGAUCGUAGAGAAGCCUGGUUUCUCUGUAUGUCACCAGACCCCAAUUCUCCAUGGCACCAUAAUAAAAGUCCGGCAAGGCAACCUGUGACAUGAAAGAACGACUUUGAAGAAACCAAGAACGUCAAAAUAUUUCAGGAACUUCCAGAAGGUGAUUUUAGAGUGAAGUGGCGAAUGCUGAACACUUACCAGGGUUUCUCCUUGCAUAGUGUGCAGAUAUGUGAAAUUUGAGACUACGAUGGCCAGCAGGAUGCUGAUGAUUACUUCUGACCCUGUGUUGAUACCUGCUUCCAAGCCAUUGGACAGAGCAACGGUCCCUGGAGGAUGGAUGAGGGUUAAGUGGAAAACAGCUUUCAUUGCUGGUUCAUCGAAACAAGGAAACGUCUUUCGGGAAUGAGUUGGAUGCAUCUGAGAGAUGGCGAUAAUCCUGCAAAAAA